AAUCAAAAGUAAAAAAGUAUGUAUUUUAUCAUUUAUGAUGAGAUAUUUUCGGAUUCCCCAUCAUUUGACUGUUAAAUGACUAAGUCCAAACUGAAACAUAAUUACAAACUCAUAAUGUAAUUCUUAUUUUGCUAUUUCUAUAAAGUAACGGCCUUCUUUUGUUUUGCAGAUGAACUUGCUGAUGCCUAUUCAUUUAUAAGGUAUGUUACUACACGUCAAUCCUGCGCAGCACUUGAUCCUCUCUUUGAAAUUUGUUAUUUUUGACCAUAUGUUGCUGAUAUUAAAAUAAAUAAAUAAAAGUAAAACAAAA